UUUAGAGUUUUGGUAUGGCUCAGGAUGAACGCUGGCGGCAUGCCUAAUACAUGCAAGUCGAACGGGGUGCUUGCACCCAGUGGCGAACGGGUGAGUAACACGUAUCUAAUCUACCUUUUAGUGGGGGAUAACAGUUGGAAACGACUGCUAAUACCGCAUACGACAUCAUUAUCGCAUGAGAAGAUGUUGAAAGGCCCGUUUGGGUCGCUAGAAGAUGAGGAUGCGGCGUAUUAGCUAGUAGGUGGGGUAAAGGCCCACCUAGGCGAUGAUACGUAGCCGAACUGAGAGGUUGAUCGGCCACAUUGGGACUGAGAUACGGCCCAGACUCCUACGGGAGGCAGCAGUAGGGAAUUUUUCACAAUGGGCGAAAGCCUGAUGAAGCAAUGCCGCGUGAGUGAUGACGGUCUUCGGAUUGUAAAGCUCUGUUGUAAGGGAAGAACAGCUAGAAGAGGAAAUGCUUUUAGUUUGACGGUACCUUACCAGAAAGCCACGGCUAAAA
rnacentral:rRNA from 1 species